AACGAACACUGGCGGCGUGGAUUAGGCAUGCAAGUCGAGCGGGAUCUCGAUGCUUCAAUUCUUCGGAAAAGAAGUGUUGGGUGAGAGCGGCGAACGGGUGAGUAAUAUAUGGGCAAUUUGCCUUGAAGCCCGGGAUAGCUACUCGAAAGGGUAGGUAAUACCGGAUGUGCUCGGGAGUUGCAUAACUCCUUAUGUGAAGGUGGGGAUCUUCGGACCUGCCACUUCAAGAUAAGCCCAUAUCCUAUCAGCCAGUUGGUGAGGUAAUGGCUCACCAAGGCUUACGGGUAGCUGGUCUGAGAGGACGACCAGCCACACUGGGACUGAGACACUGCCCAGACUCCUACGGGAGGCUGCAGUCGAGAAUAUUUGUCAAUGUACGAAAGUAUGAACAUGCGACGCCGCGUGGAGGAAGAAGGCCUGGUU
rnacentral:rRNA from 1 species